UACGGAGGAUCCAAGCGUUAUCCGGAAUCAUUGGGUUUAAAGGGUGCGUAGGCGGAAUAAUAAGUCAGCGGUGAAAGCCUGCGGCUUAACCGUAGAAUUGCCAUUGAUACUGUUAUUCUUGAGUAUAGUUGAAGUAGGCGGAAUGUGUAAUGUAGCGGUGAAAUGCUUAGAUAUUACACAGAACACCAAUUGCGAAGGCAGCUUACUAAGCUGUUACUGACGCUGAGGCACGAAAGCGUGGGGAGCAAACAGG
rnacentral:rRNA from 1 species